AGAUUGGCUAGCCCCAGCCUUCCAGCAGCCAGCCACUCUACUAAACCAAACUCACUAAAUUUACUAUGUUUAAUUAAUCUCUGAGGUGCCUUCCACUUGAGGAAAUCCCUGGAAAUAUAUCAGCACUACUGUUGUCAGAAGGAGAAAGGGCCACAAUAAUCUCGCCAAUCUUCCUGUGCAACAGUACCCACUUUAGCAUUCCACGAGGAUACCAGCAGCAAAUGCACAGGCCAAAUGGACACUGCUAAUUAAAAUCUCCAAUCAAGGUGCACCCAUAGGGGGACACAUCUUGAAGAAUCACAGUUACUACACAGGGGAUAUUUUGGGGUUUAGUCAGUCAGCUUUUCCUUAUUUAAAGACGAAAGAAGAAAGGCGCCCACUCCCCACUGCAGAAGUGGCUGGAUUACUGAGGAGCUAAACCUCCCCCAGAAGGAGGGAACACGGAAAGUGACGUGGCCACAGGACUGAGCCUCGCAGAGGACACUGAGGAUCCUGAUGCUGUGAGAAGGGCUGCUGGUAGACUGCAGAGAAGGAGUGAUGGUGUGUAGAUUGCAGACAGGGGUGUCGACCUCAAGCUAAUCCCCAGAGCAACCUGGAGGAGGCGCC